rnacentral:lncRNA from 1 species
GUAAGCAAAGACCCUGCUCUUGUGGAAUUUACAUUCCUGCAGAGGGAGGUAGACAGUAAACAAUAUUUAUUUUAUUUAUAUUUUAUUUAUUAGGUAAACUACACAGUAUGCUAGAGCAGAAUGGAGAGUGCAGGUAAGUGGGUGGGUGGAGGCUGGUUGCCAAAUAGGGGGAUACAUGUUUAGAGGAUUCGAAGGAGCUGAGGAAGGUAGCUAAGUGCACAUCAAGGAAGAAGGUCCCAGACAGAAAAUAGCUGGAUCUGAGGCUCCAAGACAGGAAUGAGCUUGGUAUGUCGGGGAAGAGCAAGGACUCCAGAGUGACAGCAGUGGAAUGAGAGGCAGUUGUAGCAGAGAAGGUGGGGUGGGGGGCACUGGGGAAUAGGGAACUAUUCCAGAUUACUUUGUUAUUCUGGAAUACCUUAUUUUGUCAUGCCCAGGUUUGUCAAUUUGAGAAGUAUGCGGACAUUUUAUUAUUCUAGGGAGGAAUAGUCAUCCCAAUUUUACCGUUUUUUUCUUUUCCAUUAGAGUUUAUUAUUUCAUUUUAUAUUGUAUUUUAUAAAUUUUAUUGAAUUAUAGAUGACUUACAAUGUGACAAUUUCUGCUGUACAGCAGUGACUCAGCUGUACACAUAAACAUAUCCAUCUUAUUUUUCCAGAUUCUUCUCCCAUAUAGACAAUCACAGAAUGCUGAGCAGACUUCCCUGUGCCAUACAGAGGUUUCCAUUAACUAUAGCUAAUUAUUUUAUACAUACCAUUUUAAAAGGGUGAAGGCUCUGCCAGCACCUUUAUCAGUAAACGGUGGUAGCAUGCAUUCAAUCUGGUGUGCAGGGUACAUGCAAAACUGCAACUGCACCAGAUUCCCUUGGGACUUUAUUAUUUUAAUUGUUUAGUUAUUCAUUUUUUGCUUUUUAGGGCCACACCUGCAGCAUAUGGAAGUUCCCUGUCGAGGGGUUGAACUGGAGCUACUACAGCUGGCCUACACCACAGCCACAGCCACACGGGAUCUGAGCCAUGUCUUCGACCUAUAUACCCCACGGCAACGCCAGAUCCUUAAUGCACUCAGUGAGGCUAGGGAUUGAACCUGCAUACUCAUGGAUGCUAGUCAGUCUCGUUACUGCUGAGCCACAACAGGAACUUCCAUCCUUUGGGGCUUUUAAAUCUUGGUUAAAGACUUGCAGUAAUAACUGAAAUUAAACGGAAUCUUGUUCACCUUUACUCACUUUCAGGUUCCCUUAAAUGGUGCAUAAUUACUCUCACCUUCAGGGACCUGCAAGCUCAGGAUUAAUAACUUGUGUGGCUUUGACUCAUUUUUUUUUUUUUUUUUUUUUUUUUUUUUUUUUGUCUUUUUGCUAUUUUUUGGGGCGACUCCCAUGGCUUAUGGAGGUUCCCAGGCUAGGGGGCGAAUCUGAGCUACAGCCGCUGGCCUACACCACAGCCACAGCAACUUGGGAUCCGAGCCACGUCUGCAACCUACACCGCAGUUCAUGGCAACUCAGGAUCCUCAACCCACUGAGUGAGGCCAGGGAUCAAACCCUAGUCAGGUUCAUUAACUGCUAAGCCACAAAGGAAUUCCCACUUCCCUCAUCUUUAAAGAGAAGGUUGUGGGAAUUCUCAAGUGGUUCAGUGGGUUAAGGAUCUGGUGGUGUAACUGCUGUGGCUCAGGUCCCAUCUCCCUUAGACCAGGACCUUUUUGGCACUGCUUAAAAAAAAAAGAGGGAGAGAGAAAAUUGUGAUGGUGCCUACAUGAUUGCGAGGUUAUGUCCAAAUCAAUUAAUCCAUAUAAAUCAGCUUAGAAUGGUGCCUGACAUACAGGAUAUGUGCUCAGGUAGGAUAUGUUAUGCAGAUUCAAAAUUCAGCUUAUUAAGCCUUAGCAAAUUAAAUGCCUCUUCUGUCUAGAAAUGCACAGGCUUUAUACUACUCGGGAAGUCAAAACUUAGAUCAAUACCAUCACUCUUAUAAGUUCUCAUAAAAUAUGAACAUUUUCACCCUCAAAUUUCUUUCCCCCAAAUUAGUCAAGGUGAUGGUUUCUAACCAUACUCUGUAAGAGACCUAGUUAAGUUAAAAUAGGGUCUAAGCUCAUUAGAACUGUUUUGAAAAGAAGAUUUUGAAUUAUUACUUCUACAGGGUAUAUUUGAUGCGUUUUUCCAUUUAACUCAUAUUUUGGUUUUAUAAUUUAAUUCACAUGGUUUAAUAAUCAUAAUUAUGAGUGAUAUAUAUGUUUAAUUAGGGUUCUGAUUCCAAGACUUAAAACUAUUAUGAUUCAUUUUACUCAUAAUAUAAUUUAAUUAAUUAAUUAGUUUAUUUUUAGGGCUGCACCUGAGGCAUAGGGAAGUUUCCAGGCUAGGGGUCGAAUCGGAGAUACAGCUGCUUGCUGGUCUAUGCCACAGCUACAGCAACAUCAGAUCCGAGCCAUGUCUGUGACCUACACCACAGCACAGCAACUCAGCCUAACCCACUGAGUGAGGCCAGGAAUUGAGCCAGCAUCCUCAUGAAUACUAGUCGGGUUCUUAACCCACUGAGCCACAGUGGGAACUCCUGUAAUUUUAAACUAAAAUAUUUAAAGCUUCCAGUUUAAUUUCAGAUGAAUUAAAAACUAAAGAAUAACCACUGCCUCUCCCAGGAUAUGAAAGCUUCCUUCCUUUCUUCCCUCCAGCCACCCCUCCUCAAAAACCAGCCUUCUUGGAGUUCCUGUCAUGGCUCAGUGGUUAACAAAUCCAACUAGGAAUCAUGAGGUUGUGGGUUCGAUCCCUGGCCUUGCUCAGUGGGUUAAGGAUGUGGCGUUACUGUGAGCUAUGGUGUAGACCAGCGGCUACAACUCCAAUUAGACCCCUAGCCUGGGAACCUCCAUAUGCCAUGGGUGCGGCCCUA